UGGAGGAUAGUUUAACGGUAGAACUCCCGGUUCUGGUCCGGGCAGUCUUGGUUCGAAUCCAGGUCUUCCAGCCA
rnacentral:tRNA from 1 species